rnacentral:rRNA from 1 species
UGCAAGUCGAGCGGUACAGGUCUAGCUUGCUAGACGCUGACGAGCGGCGGACGGGUGAGUAAUGCAUAGGAAUCUGCCCGAUAGUGGGGGAUAACCUGGGGAAACCCAGGCUAAUACCGCAUACGUCCUACGGGAGAAAGGGGGCUUCGGCUCCCGCUAUCGGAUGAGCCUAUGUCGGAUUAGCUAGUUGGUGGGGUAAUGGCCCACCAAGGCGACGAUCCGUAGCUGGUCUGAGAGGAUGAUCAGCCACAUCGGGACUGAGACACGGCCCGAACUCCUACGGGAGGCAGCAGUGGGGAAUAUUGGACAAUGGGGGCAACCCUGAUCCAGCCAUGCCGCGUGUGUGAAGAAGGCCUUAGGGUUGUAAAGCACUUUCAGCGAGGAAGAACGCCUGGCGGUUAAUACCCGCCAGGAAAGACAUCACUCGCAGAAGAAGCACCGGCUAACUCCGUGCCAGCAGCCGCGGUAAUACGGAGGGUGCAAGCGUUAAUCGGAAUUACUGGGCGUAAAGCGCGCGUAGGUGGCUUGAUAAGCCGGUUGUGAAAGCCCCGGGCUCAACCUGGGAACGGCAUCCGGAACUGUCAAGCUAGAGUACAGGAGAGGAAGGUAGAAUUCCCGGUGUAGCGGUGAAAUGCGUAGAGAUCGGGAGGAAUACCAGUGGCGAAGGCGGCCUUCUGGACUGAUACUGACACUGAGGUGCGAAAGCGUGGGUAGCAAACAGGAUUAGAUACCCUGGUAGUCCACGCCGUAAACGAUGUCGACCAGCCGUUGGGUGCCUAGCGCACUUUGUGGCGAAGUUAACGCGAUAAGUCGACCGCCUGGGGAGUACGGCCGCAAGGUUAAAACUCAAAUGAAUUGACGGGGGCCCGCACAAGCGGUGGAGCAUGUGGUUUAAUUCGAUGCAACGCGAAGAACCUUACCUACCCUUGACAUCCUGCGAACCCGGAAGAGAUUCCGGGGUGCCUUCGGGAACGCAGAGACAGGUGCUGCAUGGCUGUCGUCAGCUCGUGUUGUGAAAUGUUGGGUUAAGUCCCGUAACGAGCGCAACCCUUGUCCUUAUUUG